UAUAACAAUUAGUUUAGGAUAGAAAUCCCUCGCAGGCAGCUGAGAUCCUGUACCUUAUUUGCAAGAAUAGACGCGCAUUCUAAAUCUUAACGUCGGCUGGAGUGACUGUCUCACUGGACUGUAUUGGUUUCGGUGCCACCAGGAUCGGGUCAUCGAUCAAACGAUCAAAUUUGCCAAUUGAGAUUUAAUAGAGCAGAAGGCAGAACCUCGGAGAUGGUGGAUCUCGACCGAUUUCCGGGUCACGUGCUGGACGCAUAAUCAAUCAACCAACUAGAAAUAGCCUGAAUCGACCGUAGUUAAAACAAUACACGCGCACUAAAACCUAACUGAGGCUGGCCUUGGUUCGGAUGACCGCAGUGGUGCUGCCUCCCUGUGCUCUACAGCCGUGCAGGUGCAGAGUCCAAGCGGCACACCGGGCCUAACGUUUCUGUGAGGGGAAUAACGGCACGCCGGAGCCGGAACGCGCAUUGAAAUUUUCAUUUCCACACCUGGAGAGAAUACAAAGUAAAAGGGUCAAAGGCAAAAGAAAGAAGCUUCUGUAAUCCAUGUGCCCAUUAGUGUCUGAUUGGCAAGAUGAGUACAGACAGACCCAAACGGAAUAUCAUCAAAAAAAAUAUGACAUCAGCGACGGGAUGCCGUGGUGUGAAGAACGUCUGGUCCGCAAAGUUCUUUUCCUCUCCCUCAGGGAAUUCAGAGACACACACCGUGCCACACACAAACACUCACACAGACACACGCGCGCACACAAACGCACAUCGAAAAGUACUCUCUUACAUGCUCAGCAAAAGAGACAGACACUACCAAACACACACACACAGAAGAACACGCGCACAAGACGGAGUGUGCACACGCCACAACAAAGAGUCAAACAUAGAUCACCAAACACACAUACACAGAAAAACACACACAGUGCACAAAAUAUGCACAUUUCAAAACACCUACAUGAAGACACCAACAAAGGGCAAAAAACUAAUUUGUCUCAGGUCUCGUACACACCAAAAAAUAAAUGUACCCACACACUACAGAACAUGCAAACACAAUCAAAACUGUCUGCAGGGAAAAUGACACGCAGUGUACAGCAUACACACCUAGAAAAUACACACACGUUCCAGAAGAAUUCUGUUUCAACCAGGACACUACGCUCUCAUAAAACACAAAAAACACUGUUGCUGAACUCGAAAUACACAGAAACUGCAAAACACACACACGCUACUCCGCACAAACACUCAGUGAAAAACACACAGACAUUGCUGAAACCUUCUGCCCCGGCCAGGAUGUUGCGCUCACACACUCCCACACGCCUCAGGGGCUCCCUGGUUAAUGGCAGCAUCAGCCAGUGUCAGUCCCUCCUGUCAGCCCGCUGGAGCUUGUCCUUACAGACACAACGCCCUCAACAGCGCCACCCUGACAGCAUCCAUUGUCACAAGGAUGACCCUGCCAGCAAGAGGCUUCAGGCACAGAGGAAGUUUGCCCAGUCCCCUCCCAGCUCUCCAGGACCGCCAGUGUUGAGGACACCAGCAAGAGGUAACCACAACCUGGCCGUGGUCACCUGUCUGACGAGACGCAGUCCCAAGACUGAGGACUUCUUGUCCUUUCUCUGUCUGAGAGGUUCAUCAGCAUUGCCUAGCAAGAUGGCCUUCUUAGCAAGUGGACGAGCAAAGGAGCCAGCUGGCAAUCAGCAUCUUCCUUCCUGUCUUUCCACCAAUCACAGGACUGCAGCGGAGGGGAAGAACAUGAGCACAUUGAGCAGAACAACAGUACAGCGAGACUCUCGGUCUCUGAGAGGGAGGCCCGCAGGCUCUGCAGCGGUCAGCUCCUUCUGCCCUCUAAGCGCCCGUGCACAGAAGAGGAGGGAGAGAGAGAGGAGAGAGGAGGAACAGCAGAGGAGGAGCGAGGGGAUGGGAGCUGAGAGACACCUCCUGAGACCACGCCAGCUCUCCCUGCAGGUCAGGAGGACUAACACGGUUGCCAUGGUGACAAGGCUCUCUGAACAAAGAGCCUCCUGUGUCAGGUCAGUUCCCACCUUAAAGCUGAGCACCGGUGGGGGCAGCAGACGCUCCCCCAGGCCCUGCACAAGGCCUAGCAAUACCUGUAUACCAAGACUCCUGGAAGCCAACAACAAACACCUCUCCCAGCACAGCAAACACCAGCUGCCUCGCAAUCGGCAUCUUUCUCUAGACCAACGAACCGUCUUAGACUACUAUGGCAACCCAAAGACCUUCAGUCGUGUCCAGAACUCAGGAAGACAUUCAAGCAAGACUCCAGCUCAAAUCCCAUUGAUGAACAGCUCAGCCAUCAGUGAGAACCCUGGGGUCCUGAGGUCGUCCAGAAGAAGGAGAGGCCUUCCACCAGACACCAGCCCUACCCCUCUGAACAACAAGAACUCAUCAAAGAAGUGCAGGACAGUGCAAUGUAAUGAUGAUGAUGUCCCAGUGGAGAGUGACUGCCAUAUUGGUGAGAUCCCUCAGAGGGAGGCCAGCUGUGAUAAAGAUUUUAGAGAGGAGUCUGUGAGUCAUAUUAGUGAAAUCACUGGUAGUCAUAAAGAAGACCUUACACAGGACAGAUGUGGCCAUGUUGGAGAGAUGAGAGUAGAGAGGGACAGUUGUAUUAGUGAAGACCUACAAGACGAGAUGCAUGUUGGAAAGUUAAGUUUCACCAGGGUCUCUGCUCUGGAGCCCUCUCAAGAAGGGGUCAACCUUAACAACAUCAUCACAAACUAUGACCUCAGCCCCGUUAGGGAGGUCCUCGGCAGUCAUGUGAGAGAAAAAAGGCUCCAGAGAAAUCAUCCCACUUCAUCCACAUUCUCUAAACUAAUGACCAGGACUGCUGAUUCCAGAGCUUCUGCUGUGAGGACUACUGUAACUAAAGCUGCUAUCAACUUAGUGACUUCUACACAAACACACACUGACCCACCAGCCAGUUAUUCUGCCAAGCACACUGCUAAGGGCACUAACAAACGUACUAGCAAGGACAUUAUCAAGUGUACUUCACCAGCCAGCACAUACUCUAUCCAUAAUUCCAAAGGUGCUGUAAAAGACUCCUCCAAGGGUACCACAGAGGACUUGACCAAGGACAGUUUACCUGUCUGUAGCUAUUCUAGCACUUCCAAGGGCUCUACAAAGGGCCUCCCCCAGAUCAAGUCUACUACCUCAGCCAUUAAGACCAGGAGCAGCCCGAGAAUCCUCCUGAAGCACUAACAAACGCCUGAGCUACGUCUGAAAACAUUCACAGAUUUACUAUUCGAUAUAUUGAGGUUUAGCAAAAUGUUUAAAUGUUUAAAACAACAUUAGAUACUGUUGAUCAUAAGCACCACAUGAUGAUGGUUGUUGGCUGGUUGGAUAGUGACGUAGUGACUAUGUACUGUUCUCUACAUAUGUCAAUGAUUGUGGGAUCAUUUUAAUUCUAUAUGUUUUGACUGUGAAGGCUCAUGCACACCUUCGAUUUCUUGUAGACGGGUUCAUAGGAGGAAGGGAAGAGAGAAUUCCCGCACACGCUUUUACUUGCAAUGAACCUUAUUUAUAAAUACAACAUUUCGAUCCUUAGAUCUUCAUCGGAUGAGGCUUAAAAUAAGGUAACGGUGAUGCUUUACCUGAUGAAGGUCUAAGGACAGAAAUGUAUUCAUCAAUAAAGUUCAUUGCAAGUAGGACAGUGUGCAGGGAGUCCCUAUUCACACAGCACACACGGCAUAGUGGGAGACGCGUUGUGUAAUGGAGUGUAUAAUAAAAGUCCCUGCUGUAUCUGAAAUAGUAGCCUGAUAUUUUUGUAUUAUAUUAUGGAAAAGCACAUUCAGUCUGCUGUACCGUUUUCAGUAGUGUACCUAAAGAAAGCUGAUGUGCACACAGUUACAUGCUCUGGGGCCUUUCGGGAGUCAGGUUACAAAGCAGUCCUGCCAUUUCAUUUAAACAGGAAUAAUCUGUUCAGGACCGUCUACAUCGAUAAGGGUUUCUCACUUUAAAAACAUAUUAAGUCUCUUAAAACAAUAGUCAAGAGCUCAUAUGAAUAAUAAGACCGGUUUUACUUGCCGUGAUCAUUCCUCCUGUUCAAACUGUCGAUUAAAAGAUUCCAUUUAAGAAGUAAGUGAUGAGGGACAAAAUCAUACCUGUCAACAUUAGAAUUUCAAAAUAAGGGAAAUGUUUUGCCGGACUCCGCCCAUACUUUAACAGCUCCAACCCAUGUAAUGUAAAUGUAAACACAUAAGGGACGGGUAUAUACAUUGAGGAAAUACAUGUUUAUGUAAAAUAUGUAUUACUUGUACAGACAUGUUUAUAAAAUGUAUGUAUUUUAUUUGAUGAGUUAUUAUCAUCAAUUUAUUUGAUGAUCGAUGACUUGUGUGGCUUUUGUUUUCCCCGACGAUGUCAGAGUCGGGAAACAUGUCCGCUACACUGCGACUGAAAUCAACGCAGAAGCUGAAGGCUACAUUAUUUUUAACGCAAAGCAUUGAAAUCAUUCCCUCAGCUUUGGUCACUUGGUCUGCCUCCGACACAGUUCUUGUCACACAUGAAGUCAUUGACAGUGUAUGUUUUGUGCCUCAUAUUUGUGCUUUGACGCUUUUUCUUGCUGGUGAACAUCGCUUAUUCCGCAGUGUGCGAUGCUAAUAUCUGAAUGGCACACUUUACAAAGAGCAUGAGUUUGCCCGACUCUGCUUUUUAUUAAAUAAGGGAAGGUCUCCUCUCAUUGGUACUUACAUAAAGUUUUAACUUGUUUGGCAGGUACAACUGCGUCUCCAUCUAUCUCCCGUUCACUGUGACUCUCAUCCAUAUGUUUUCGUCUUCUUCUUCUGUGUUAUUGUUCCUGUUUUCUUCUUCUGUGUGUUUACUGGUGGAUAACGUUUUUCAGCUCAUGCUAAACAUAAUACUGCCACCUGCUAUAUCGGAGGCCACUUUACACUUUUUUAAAUUAGGCAAAUUGAAAGGUUAAAAAUAUGGGAUAAUCCCGGGAAAAACGGUAGGGUUGACAGGUAUGGACAAAAUACACAGUUCUGUGAAAAAACGUUCCCAUGUUUAUCUGAGGCUAAUAGAUUGUGUGCAUGUGACGUCACGCUUAUUUCCCAACCCAGAAGUCAGCCAUGUUGGUUGGAAUACACAACCAAGACUGUGGCCAUUCACGUGGGAGUUGCUGCAACGCUUCGUAAUUUUCUUUGUAUUUAAACGUCUAAGAUUGAAAGAAAAUGCCAAUUGUGUGUGCAGUCUAUAAUUGUAGUAAUAACGCUACUCGUGAACCAGAGAAACGGUUCUUUAGAUUUCCUAAAAUCAUCACAAACAACGAUCCACAAAAGAGGGAUGAAUUGCUGUCUACCGAACGUCGUAAACUGGUUUAGCAACAUAACUCGUAAGGAUUUAAUAGAAGAAAAAGCACAAUUCACCCGUGUGUGUGGCGACCACUUUAUAUCUGGUAAGAGCUCAUGCUAAAGCUAUGUUUUCAAUGUUUACGUUAAACAUUUGUGCUUAUGAUAUACCCGAACACUGUAAGACCUCACCUCACUCACAAACCACGGCUUGAGCGGUGUAUCUCGAGCUCUUUGAGAGUGAUUUACACGGGCAUGGACGAGCACCCUGUCAUCUUUCACUGGUUUGGUAAGAAGACUACCAACCCAGCCAGAAACAAAGACAUUAUAAGCAUCUAAGCUCUUGUAUGCCUUCAUUUGUGCGUUGGUUGCCCACGACGUUUGUAGCACAAGGUAGUUCACAAUAUCCGUAUAUUCAAUCGGCGGUAAUGAAUCUAAAUCCUCACUACAAUCCGAUGGCUUUAGCGUGUACGGGUCACGGCAAAUUGAAAGAAACAUUUGGACUUUUUCCUCUGAAUCUUGCCUUUGCAGAGGACUCCAGAGAGUCAGAAUACUUUGAAGAAGUCGGAGUUGUAUUGUUGUUCGCUUUAGACGGCAUUGUUGAUUUGUUAUCCAACCAACAUGGAGUCGCACGCAUACGUCACACAGUUUUGUCACGUGUUUGCACACUACCUAUAUGAGGAAUCAGCUUUCGGUCAAAUCAAGUGGGUCUUUUUAGUAAGUUGUCCUCCAUAGGUCAGUGAAGAAACAUGUAUUUUUGUACUGUGACCGGAUUUUUUUCCCCAUCACAUGAAUUGAAUUUGCUUAAGAAAAGUUCCUUUAAUGGCCAGUAUGGACAGGAGGAACGAUUACAGCCAGCAAAACCUGUUUCAGUGUUCUUAUGGGCAUGUGAGUAUUGUAUUAAGACUGACUUGAAAAAAUGUAAACCUAUCCUUUUAAGAAGUCCGUGGCACAACGGAAACAUCCAUCCUCUCGACAUUGACUCUGACCUCGGUUACGGCUACCAGAACCAGUUGUGUGUGUGAAACCAGCGGUCUAUUAGCUUCCUAAUAGCUGAUUUUGGGAGGUUAAAUAGAAGAGAGGUAAAAUCUUAUGGCUGUAAUAAAUAUAAUUAGUACAUUAAUUAAUAUUACUGACUUCCUCACUGUGUGUUGGAUUAAAAUUAGACAUUAGUCAAAUUAAUAAUAAAAUACAUUGUUGGAGACAGCAAUGGACACCGCUGCCCCUCUUCUGUUUUUGUUUUUCCAACAUAAACUUGCCAUCAAAAUAUUUUUUUAGUUGCCAUAAUCACAUGAUAUUUCUACACAUAAGAGUUCUGGAUACGUAACUGACUUAUGUGUUUGUAAAUGAGUCCAUCCUACUCUGUCCAUGUAUCUUUUAUCAGUCACCUGGUUGGUGUUUUGAAAUCACUUCUCUCCAUUUUAAGCGUUUGUAUCAUUGAUCAUUAGUUACAGAGUUAGCGAUCAAGAUGGCGCACCAUGCUACAGAAAAACACAAUCAUUGCAGACAGAUUGACAAUCUUCUUCCUGAUAAAGGGGUCACCCUGUGUAUGACUUUAUUAUUCCCACUCAAACAUUCUACCAAGGGAAGUUUCAUUAAGGAUCCUUACAUCUUGUGUAUUACUGUGGUGCAUGUGUUAGCUAAAUGGCCUUUGAUGGAAAAUCCCUGAGGUGAUAUGCAGUAUGUUACAAUGUGCUGGGCUUCAUCUGGGACACAAGCCAGUGAUUUCAAGUUCAUUUGAAAAACAUUAACAUUUUUGUUAGUUAGAUUUAGAGCACUGUGAGCAUUUCCCACUACUCAUAUUAAUUAUCUUGAAAAUAUUUAACUGAAAAAAUGUGCAUUAUAUUUAUGCUUCUUGCAGAUACUGUCAUUUCAUGUGGACAAAGUCUCCAGAUUUCCUUCUCUUUUCUCAACAGCCAUGGAGCUUGCAGAUUUGAUCCGUGGGAGAGUUCUCACACUGAGAGAUAGGUUCUUACACAACAAAUGGAUUCAUGUCUUUCUUCCUGAUCAUGAAUUUUAAAAUGUUAUUGAAGUUUUCAAUCAGAUUUCUUGUUAAAUCUCAUUGUGUAUUCAUGGAGUUUUGGUGAGAUGAGCAAACUCUUUCAGUCCCAAGGGAAUAUGAACACAUGAAAAAACGAAUAUUUGUGCAGCCACACGUAUGUAACUGUAAACAGUCUGUAAAUGUGAAUCAUUUGAAUGAGAAUUUGCAAUAAAAUCUCUUUGCAUACUUAUCUGCCGGUGCAACUACUACUGAAGCUACAUACGUUUGCAUAAACAAUUUACAUUUGCAUAUGCAUCAAGCGACGGUGCUAGUGUAUCAGUCUUGCAACAAGCAUAGAAAAUACCAUCCUGAAAAUGUUAACCCUCAUACAGGGAAGGAAGCUUGAAGUUUAUUAAAAGACCAUA
rnacentral:lncRNA from 1 species